GCUCUCGUAGCUCAGUUGGUUAGAGCACCCGUUUAGUAAGCGGGGUCUUGAGUUCGACUCUCAACGAGAGCA
rnacentral:tRNA from 1 species